CGUAACAAAAUGUGGAAAGUCAAGGGGUCUGAAAGUCAAGGGGUCUAAUAUAAUACUUUCCAAAUGCACUGUAGGCUCAUAGGUGGCGAGUCCAUAUGGCUAAGAUUUCCCAAAGUAAAUUGAAUUAAAUUGCCAAAAUUAUAUAGCCUAAUUAACCUACUCCUGUCUAUACAUGAUUUGGUCACAGAGGAUCAUUAGCUUCCCCUAGCCUUAAAAUAAAAAUAAGUUGUGGAUUGUUUUUAAUUGGGUCUGUGCUGCAGGCUGCUAUAUAGGUCCACUAAUACAGGACUUUUAAAGGCCCAGUGCACUACUUUUGUGAUUUGUAUUUAUUGAAUUAAUAUUUUUCAGGGGGUGCUCCAGCACCCCUACUUCCUGUGGCUAUGAUAGCCUAGCUUAUUGGCACCAGGAGGCCAUAUCCCCAUGCACAUAUUCAUUCUUUAUCAUUGUUGGGUCAGUGCCACUUAAGUUUGUUUUUUGACAAUAAUUUGCAGAGUAAGCAACCCUGUAAUGUGUUAAAAAAAAAUAUAUAUAUAUAUCUGCUAAUGUCUCCAGUCAUAUAAAGUGUAGUAGAAUUGCAUGAAAUGUGUUUUUCCUGUGCAAAGAAAGAAACGUAGGCCUAUCUGAUAUAGCCUAUAGGCCAGACCUCUACCCUAUGAGCUCAGCUAUGCAUUGAAAAUGAUUUGUUUGCCUACAGUGAUUGGAUAGCCAUAAUUUUGGCUAAUAAUAUAACAAUCUACUCAUCACAUUACGUAAGUCUGCAAAUGCGAUUAUACAUGGGAUGCUUUAUUAUAAAGGUGCAUUUUUAUGGUGAAAAUGUACUUACCCAAACUUGAAACUCACACGCUGCCUAAGCAUAGGCUAGUGAUAAUGCUGUUCAUUACUGGUCUUGUUGGCUGAGGAAAAGUAAAUGUGGACAGUAAUUCUAACCUCUUCAAAGUGCGCAGUAAGGACGCAUAAUUCCAUCCUUGAUUUACAUGUUCUGUUAAGAUGAAUUACCACAAUCUAAAUGUGAUUUCUGUCAUUCUGAGUACCGUGGUGGACGCCCUAAUCAGGUUAUGCACCCAAUGCAUAAAUUAGAAUGCUGCAGGUCAAGUCCAGUGCCACAUUUUCAUAAUGGAAACCCUGAUAGGAGGGGUUUUGUUUGUGUUGUGUUUUUACUGAUUUUGCUACUUAAUGAGAAUGGCGACAAGCCCCUAUUGAACACUGCAACAGCUGCAGAAUCUAAUCAUGUGAACCAAGAUAAUGAUGAUCUUCUCUAAUAUUAGUCAUCUCUGUAGUGUUUCUCAGAAAAGUACAACUUUGCAUCACAAAAGUUCCUCAUUUGUGAGAUUUUACACAACCCUAAAUGUAUUCAACCCCAGUUUGAAGUCCUUUUCUCCACUGCUUGAUCCAGACCUAUGCAAGAUACUUUUUUGGCAGUGCUCAGUGAAUGACGUAGAACACAGGCGUGGUAUUAACAAUGAGAACACUCUUAAUUCCAGACUAUAUACAGUUUUCACUCCUAAAUUGGCUAUGGUAGUUAGCGCUGCUGGUUCAAAAUACACAUUGUGGAUGAUCCAUUGACAUUUCUCUCUUUACUACAAUAACCGAAACUGAAAUGUUGUAUCCUGCCUGUCGGGACGGCUGUGCUUCAUGCGAACUACACUGAUAAUUUGAGAGCAGUACAUAGGAAAUGACUCAUAGGAGUUGAACUGUAAGCGUGGGUGUGUACUCUAUUAAAACGAGGCUCAGACUACUCCGGGUGACUCAGUGCGAGGCUUGCUUUCCAUUGUAAAAACGAACACCGGCUGUUCAUCAGAUGAACUUUCGGGAAUUGCGUUUAUACAAGAAGGAUGGCUUCAAACGUUCUCUGUGCGCUUUGUGGACUGAUCAUUGCGACUAUAGUGAAUGGGCAGAGAAGCCUAUGCAACAGUAAAGAGUUCUGGAGUUCAGACAUAGACCAAUGUGUAUCCUGCUCAACAUGCAAGCAGUAUCCAAAGACUCCUUCAUGUAACACUUGCACAUUUACAGAGGAGAGAUCUGAUGUCUGGAGACUGGCAGCCAUUUCCAGCUUCUCUGUGCUGGCAGUCGUUCUGGUCGCUGCAGGAUUGAUCAUUGGGGUCAUGUUGCAUCGACGCACAGCAAACAAUAGGCCCCUUCGUGGUAGGGCUCACGGAUACCAUCUCCUGAUAAACUAACAUUAACCUAUUGAAGAGACAACAGGACCUCUUUACCAAGCUUAAACAUUUCAGUAGCCUCAUCUUCAUCUUCCUCCUGACAUCGACGUGACAGAACCAAGGGAACACCUUUUGAUGACCAAUCGUCAGAAGAAUUUUUGUACAAUGGACUGUGGGUAUUAUUUGAGUAGAGUUGGACAAUUUUAAUUGAUUAUACUGCUAGUUAGUAAAGAUGUGCUCACACUCAUUAUAGACUGUUACAGAACGGAGCUCUCACAUAGAACUGUGUUAACUCAUGCUGUCAAUCCCAUGUCUUGUCUGAAGUCAGACUGUACUCUGAGGAAGACCAGGUGGUUAGUAAAGAGUAGCUUACAGCUCUUUUUGUAUUGAUGUCCUUUGAGUAGUGAUGCUAGUUUUAGCCAGUGUAGAUAUUCCUAUCUAUCGAUAAGUCAUUUCUUCAACAAUAAGUAGGUUCAAAAACAGUAGUGAACAUGAGACACAUCUUGAAUGAUUUGGAUUUAUUACCAUAACUGUCAAUGCUUGACCACCUAUUACUGUAUUGGUGUCGGACAUACUGUACAUUUAGCCUAUUAGGUCGAAUACCAGCUAACACACUGCCUCGACUUGCCACAAGCAGGAUAAAUGUGAAUACAGCACAAUCAAACUUUCUGGGCUAGGUUUGACCAACUGUACUUCUAAGACUAAAAGGUUUCUAUUUGCUGGUCAUAUAUAACAACCUCUUGGUAAUGAAGUAUACAAGUGAUAUGUUAGAUGAGUGGUCACCAACUGGUCGAUCUACAAGGCAUUCCUAGUUGAUCACCAAACAUUUCUGUAAAAAAAACAACGAUUAAGCCUUGCUUCCUAUUUUCUUUAUUAGUUUUGCGCUGUUGGCGGUAGGUGCAUUUUGAUUCCGCAGCCCUAGCGCCGAGAAGGUAGUGUUCCCAUUUUGAAAAUUUCAUGUGUCUGAAGGUAGAACUCUGCCUACCCAGCAGGCCCAGAAAGCAAAUCAAGUGUACCUAUAUGCCUACCGCUGGCCAAUCAGAUAGCUCAGAUUACCGUGUCUGCACAGUUUCCUCGAGCCAUAGACUGUAAAAAGAAGCUUGACUGCACAGCAAAGUUGAUACUGUGAGAUUUCAAAACGUUUCAAACCCUGACUAGAGACUCAACGCAUACAGCAAAGAGCUGCUGUUUUUAUGAGUGAGUUCAUGUAUAAGUUGUUAUUCAGCACUGUCAACACUUUGUU